UAAAUGCUCCCUAAAGCCUCGAUGACACGAGGCGAGUUUACAAGCUGCUAGCGAACUCGCUGCCUUGUAACUUGUAAACUCGCCACGUGUCAUCGAGCUUUUUCACAAUCUGCUUUUGAUUAUCAGAUUGUAAAAACGCUGCUUGAAAAAUAGAAAGCCGGGCUAAUUUACUCGCCAUUCGCUGGCGUGUUGGCCUGUAAGCUAGUUAACUAGCCACGUGUCAUCAUCACUGCUAGUAAACUAGUUGCGAGCAUCUGCGUUUUGGCAGUUAAAGCUAAAAUGUCAACACGCUAGCUAGUUGGCUACUGAGCGAGUGGAAUGUUUUGUGUGUCAUCGACACUCGCUUACUCGCUCACUCGCUAGCUUUUAAACUCGCCGACUAGCAGCUCGUAAAUUAGCCCAGUGUCAUCGAGCCUUUAUCUUUCUUGAUUUUUUAA